rnacentral:lncRNA from 1 species
UAUGUAGGAUUAUUAUUGGGACCCAUUCUUUAUCUUUAUUUAAAUGCAGCUUUCUGAUUGGCCCACAAAUAUUGUAAAUAAAGCAAAGUUUAAUUCUUCUGCGGGGUUUUCUAUACUUAUACUUAAUAAUAAACGUUCUAAGGGUCUAUGUAUAUGCGCAUUUGAAGAUAUAUGUAUGUUUACUUUCAUUAAGUUAAAUCUAAGAUGCCGAUUUCGUAAUAUAUGUGGGGCCAUAGUACGACUUAACUAAAACACCCUUACUGGUAUUACACAAAUCUCGAAUUUGCUUUGCGGCUAGCUUAUUCCGUGAAAUUUGUUCCAUAGAAAUAUAUUUAUAAUAUAUACACUAUUUAACCAAUGAUUACGGAAUCAGCUUUUUAUAAAUAGUCGCCAAUAGCAGGUCAUAGUAGUUUUAGUUAUUCCUUGACCUAUACAUGAGACCACGGCUCAGAUUUUUUUGUAGGCUCAAGGCUCAUAUUUUAAUGGUAACAAUAAUUUUAACGAGGUAAAGACGUGUGGUUGUAUUAGUUUGCGGAGCGCUUUGUAUUUCUACGUCACAAGACUUUUGUUCCUAUGAAUGAGAAUUGUUUUAAUUUAUUCGAUGCAUGAAUAAAUAAUUAUGACUUGUUGGA